rnacentral:rRNA from 1 species
GUGGGGAAUCUUAGACAAUGGGGGAAACCCUGAUCUAGCCAUGCCGCGUGAUCGAUGAAGGCCUUAGGGUUGUAAAGAUCUUUCGCUGGGGAAGAUAAUGACUGUACCCAGUAAAGAAGCCCCGGCUAACUCCGUGCCAGCAGCCGCGGUAAUACGGAGGGGGCUAGCGUUAUUCGGAAUUACUGGGCGUAAAGCGCACGUAGGCGGACUGGAAAGUUGGGGGUGAAAUCCCGGGGCUCAACCUCGGAACUGCCUUCAAAACUCCCAGUCUUGAGUUCGAGAGAGGUGAGUGGAAUUCCGAGUGUAGAGGUGAAAUUCGUAGAUAUUCGGAGGAACACCAGUGGCGAAGGCGGCUCACUGGCUCGAUACUGACGCUGAGGUGCGAAAGCGUGGGGAGCAAACAGGAUUAGAUACCCCGGUAGUCC